rnacentral:rRNA from 1 species
GGAGUCACGCCAGAAAUCUUACCCGGAGAGACAGCAGAAUGAAGGUCAAGCUGAAGACUUUACCAGACAAGCUGAGAGGUGGUGCAUGGCCGUCGCCAGCUCGUGCCGUGAGAUGUCCUGUUAAGUCAGGUAACGAGCGAGAUCCCUGCCUCUAGUUGCCACCAUUACUCUCAGGAGUAGUGGGGCGAAUUAGCGGGACCGCCGCAGUUAAUGCGGAGGAAGGAAGGGGCCACGGCAGGUCAGUAUGCCCCGAAACUCUGGGGCCACACGCGGGCUGCAAUGGUAACGACAAUUGGUUUCGAAUCCGAAAGGAUGAGGUAAUCCUCAAACGUUACCACAGUUAUGACUGAGGGCUGCAACUCGCCCUCACGAAUAUGGAAUCCCUAGUAACUGCGUGUCAUUAUCGCGCGGUGAAUACGUCCCUGCUCCUUGCACACACCGCCCGUCGUUUCAUUGAAGUGAGCUUUUAGCGAGGUGACGUCUAAUUGGCGUUAUCGAACUUGAGGUUCGUGACAAGGGAAAAGUCGUAACAAGGUGACCGUAGGGGAACCUGCGGUCGGAUCA